rnacentral:rRNA from 1 species
UGCAAGUCGAGCGGAACGACACUAACAAUCCUUCGGGUGCGUUAAUGGGCGUCGAGCGGCGGACGGGUGAGUAAUGCCUAGGAAAUUGCCUUGAUGUGGGGGAUAACCAUUGGAAACGAUGGCUAAUACCGCAUAAUGCCUACGGGCCAAAGAGGGGGACCUUCGGGCCUCUCGCGUCAAGAUAUGCCUAGGUGGGAUUAGCUAGUUGGUGAGGUAAUGGCUCACCAAGGCGACGAUCCCUAGCUGGUCUGAGAGGAUGAUCAGCCACACUGGAACUGAGACACGGUCCAGACUCCUACGGGAGGCAGCAGUGGGGAAUAUUGCACAAUGGGCGAAAGCCUGAUGCAGCCAUGCCGCGUGUAUGAAGAAGGCCUUCGGGUUGUAAAGUACUUUCAGUUGUGAGGAAGGGGGUAACGUUAAUAGCGUUAUCUCUUGACGUUAGCAACAGAAGAAGCACCGGCUAACUCCGUGCCAGCAGCCGCGGUAAUACGGAGGGUGCGAGCGUUAAUCGGAAUUACUGGGCGUAAAGCGCAUGCAGGUGGUUCAUUAAGUCAGAUGUGAAAGCCCGGGGCUCAACCUCGGAACUGCAUUUGAAACUGGUGAACUAGAGUGCUGUAGAGGGGGGUAGAAUUUCAGGUGUAGCGGUGAAAUGCGUAGAGAUCUGAAGGAAUACCAGUGGCGAAGGCGGCCCCCUGGACAGACACUGACACUCAGAUGCGAAAGCGUGGGGAG